UACGGUGGGAGCAAGCGUUGUUCGGAUUUACUGGGCGUAAAGGGCGCGUAGGCGGUCAGCACAAGUCAGUUGUGAAAUCUCCGGGCUUAACUCGGAAAGGUCAACUGAUACUGUGCGACUAGAGUGCAGAAGGGGCAACUGGAAUUCUCGGUGUAGCGGUGAAAUGCGUAGAUAUCGAGAGGAACACCUGCGGCGAAGGCGGGUUGCAGGGCUGACACUGACGCUGAGGCGCGAAAGCCAGGGGAGCGAACGGG
rnacentral:rRNA from 1 species